UUCAAUGAAUGAUGAAAACAAUAUUUUUUCAGUUAUCCCUGUCUGAUUAAAUUCUCAUGCUGAUUUCUUUGAAUCUGACAUGGAA